rnacentral:ncRNA from 1 species
GUAUUUCCUAUGAAGAGAAAAGUAUAAAUAAGGCGUAGCGUAGAGAGGUUUCGGUUGGUGAAAGAAAUCGUACAAGUUAUUUAGAAAAUGGUCUUGGAGGAAAGUUGUCGAUAAGUAGGCAACUAACGGGCAUACUCAGCCGCUACCAUGAGUCCUAUAACUCUAUUUUUUAGAGCGUUAGAUGAGGGAAACUAAAAAGUUUCUAAACAAAGGUGGUACCACGAUUAUUCGUCCUUUAU